GAUUAACGCUGGCGGCAUGCCUAAUACAUGCAAGUCGAACGGAAAAUAUAUAGAUGCUUGCAUUUAGAUAUUUUUAGUGGCGAACGGGUGAGUAACAUAUAGAUAACCUACCUUUAAGUUGGGGAUAACAGAGGGAAACUUUUGCUAAUACCGAAUAAAAUAAUUAGACGCAUGUUUAAUUAUUAAAAGGGGCUCCAAAGCCCCGCUCGAAGAGGGGUCUAUAUCGCAUUAGCUAGUUGGUAAGAUAACAGCCUACCAAGGCGAUGAUGCGUAGCUGUACUGAGAGGUAGAACAGCCACAUUGGGACUGAGAUACGGCCCAAACUCCUACGGGAGGCAGCAGUAGGGAAUUUUCGGCAAUGGGGGGAACCCUGACCGAGCAAUGCCGCGUGAUUGAAGAAGGUCUUCGGAUCGUAAAGAUCUGUUAUUAGGGAAGAAUGGAAUUGAUAGGAAAUGAUCAAUUUAUGACGGUGCCUAAUGAGGAAGCCCCGGCUAACUAUGUGCCAGCAGCCGCGGUAAUACAUAGGGGGCGAGCGUUAUCCGGAAUUAUUGGGCGUAAAGGGUACGUAGGCGGGCCUGCAAGUCUGAUUUGAAAGCACACGGCUUAACCGUGUGAGGUAAUUAGAAACUACGGGUCUAGAGAGUGGUAGAGGUAAAUGGAAUUCCAAGUGGAGCGGUGAAAUGCGUAGAGAUUUGGAGGAACACCAGUGGCGAAGGCGGUUUACUGGGCCACAUCUGACGCUGAUGUACGAAAGCGUGGGGAGCAAACAGGAUUAGAUACCCUGGUAGUCCACGCCGUAAACGAUGAGUGCUAAGUAUCGGUAGAAUCGGUGCUCAAGCUAACGCAGUAAGCACUCCGCCUGGGGAGUACGGUCGCAAGACUGAAACUCAAAGGAAUUGACGGGGACUCGCACAAGCGGUGGAGCAUGCGGUUUAAUUCGAUGCAACGCGAAGAACCUUACCAGGUCUUGACAGUGUAAAGAAUACUUAAGAGAUUAAGGGCUAAGAAUUAAGCUUGCUUAUUUCACUUUAUAAACAGGUGGUGCAUGGUUGUCGUCAGCUCGUGUCGUGAGAUGUUGGGUUAAGUCCCGCAACGAGCGCAACCCUUAUUGCUAGUUGCCAUCAUUAAGUUGGGCACUCUAGCAAGACUGCCGGUGACAAAUCGGAUGAAGGUGGGGAUGACGUCAAAUCAUCAUGCCCCUUAUGACCUGGGCUACACGCGUGCUACAAUGGCUAAUACAAAGAGUUGCAAAACCGUGAGGUAGAGCUAAUCUCAUAAAGUUAGUCUCAGUUCGGAUUGUAGUCUGCAACUCGACUACAUGAAGUUGGAAUCGCUAGUAAUCGUAAAUCAGAAUGUUACGGUGAAUACGUUCUCGAGUCUUGUACACACCGCCCGUCACACCAUGAAAGUUUAUAAUACCCGAAGCUGGUGGCCUAACCUUAAAGGAGGGAGCCAUCGAAGGUAGGAUAGAUGAUUGGGGUG
rnacentral:rRNA from 1 species